CAUGGAUUAGGCAUGCAAGUCGAGCGGUAACAGGUUGCCUGCAAGGGUAAUGCUGACGAGCGGCGAACGGGUGAGCAAUACAUGAGCAAUCUACCCUGAAGCUUGGAAUAGCCUCUGGAAACGGAGGGUAAUACUGGAUGUGGUCGCCCCGCGCAUGCGGGGUUGUCUAAAGCCGGGGACCGCAAGGCCUGGCACUUCGGGAUGAGCUCAUGUCCUAUCAGCUAGUUGGCGGGGUAACGGCCCACCAAGGCUAAGACGGGUAGCUGGUCUGAGAGGAUGGUCAGCCACAUUGGGACUGAGACACUGCCCAGACUCCUACGGGAGGCUGCAGUCGAGGAUAUUUCACAAUGCGCGAAAGCGUGAUGAUGCGACGCCGCGUGGAGGACGAAGGCCUUCGGGUUGUAAACUCCUGUCGUGAGGGAGCAAGUGGAGCCAACCUAACACGUUGGUUCUUUGAUGGUACCUCAGGAGGAAGCCACGGCAAACUCUGUGCCAGCAGCCGCGGUAAUACAGAGGUGGCGAGCGUUGUUCGGAUUUACUGGGCGUAAAGGGUGCGUAGGCGGUCCUGUGUGUUGGAUGUGAAAUCCCAUGGCUUAACCAUGGAAAGGCAUCCAAAACUGGGGGACUAGAGUACAGGAGAGGAGAGUGGAAUUCUUGGUGUAGCGGUGAAAUGCGCAGAUAUCAAGAGGAACACCGGUGGCGAAGGCGGCUCUCUGGAAUGAUACUGACGCUGAGGCACGAAAGCCGGGGGAGCAAAAAGGAUUAGAUACCCUUGUAGUCCCGGCUGUAAACGGUGUACACUUGGUGUGGGAGGAUUUAUCCCCUUCCGUGCCGGAGCUAACGCGUUAAGUGUACCGCCUGGGGAGUACGGUCGCAAGAUUAAAACUCAAAGGAAUUGACGGGGGCUCACACAAGCGGUGG
rnacentral:rRNA from 1 species